rnacentral:tRNA from 2 species
GACUACAUGAUCUAAUGGUAUGAUAGUACUACUUCACAGUAUUCAUGUGGGUUCAAUUCCCACUGUAGUUA